AUGAGAGGGGCCAUGAAGCCAUCCAGAGCUUGGAUGGGUGGUGUGAGAAGAAGGGCGCAUCUCGCCUGGUUAGGGAGCCAGCAGGGGAGGCUCCACAGGGAGCAGGCUGAUGGUGGUACCAUCCCCCCAGAGCCCAACCUUACCCAAGGUCCAACUCGAAACUUGGCUCUUCUUCGAGGUUUAUCUUCAGCACCAGUCACACAAAAUGCUAUUGACACAUUGGCGUUGGCAAGUCCUGCAACAAGUUGUGGUAUACCAACGGUUGUGUCAACUGAAGGUAAAUCACCAAGCAGUUUACCGGUGCUGAGAAGUCCAUCCUUGGGCACUACAUUUGUUGCACCAGUCUGGCCCACUGUGGUCCGUAGCUUACCAAGUCGGUGUAAAAGCACUGCACUCACUUUGCUGAAGAAUGCUGGUUCCUCUGCUACACUGGGGUCACAGAUGAAACACCACCGAUUUUGUACCUUGGCUGGAGACCAGUCAGUCACAAAUUCAGGUGAACGAUAUAUUGGUGAGGACAGCCAUUUUCAGCAUAGUAAUAGUACAGCUUUGAGGGAGAGAGUAUUAGCCGAUACCAGUCAAACAGCUACUAAAGCGCUCAGUUUUAAGGCCAGAUACAAGAACUUUAUCAGACCAUUACUGGUUAACCGAUGUUUGAUUGCCCCGUGUGGAAUAAACGAUCCGUGGAUGAUAUUUUUGCAACGUCAAACCUUCAGCAUCCUUGGUCACAAUCCUUGCUAUUUGAGUAGCUUUGACAUCACAUCCUAUGAAGAUACUUGUAAGGAUGGCGAAUUUGAGACUUUUCUGGACCUUCUUGUUAGCAGGAAGGGUUACAUUAUUGAAGAUUGGGACUCUUCCUUUUCCACUAUUGAACCAUUAAUGUAUGACCACGGACUGAAGCAGCCGUAUGACGGGACCAACGAACCAUUGUACAAAGGGGAAUGUGAUGCUUCGUACGAUAAUAAGACGGGAAUUGCAAGCUUGUCUUACAUCAUUUGGAAGGACGAUAAGAUCAUUUACUCAGAAGUUUUCUCAGACCUCAAGUGCUCUUCAUCAAAUGAAGCUGAAAUUCAUGCUGCGUUAGCGCUUCUUUACAAGGCUGAAGAACUCAAGAUCAGCAAACUCCAUCUAUGGACUGAUUCCAGAACAGCGGCUAGUGUCUUAACUGGCGAGUUGUCAAUCCCUUGGGACCAUGCCCACCAUGACUUUUUUCUGACCUUAAGGGGCAUGAGGAAGCGGUUCAGUCGGUUGGUGGUCACCUGGAGGCCCAGGGAGAUGCUGUUUUUCCCAGACGAGCUUGCAGAGAUUGCGAAGUCCCCUGGCUGUGAUUUACGUGCUUCCCAUACUACUGCUCUGGAGAAAUGGUCCGGCCACCUACGGGGCCUCCCUGUCCACCACAUUGAAUGGACAAACAAAACGGCCACAGCAGUUCGAAAAUUCAAGAACAAGAUAUUGGAUGAAGAAUUGUAUGGCAUGAGCGGUCCUGAUGUCUAUUUUGUUGAAGUUGAAGAGUGCCGUAAGUUGGACUGCUUGGUGGUGCUUAAAUAG
rnacentral:rRNA from 1 species